AAUGAACGCUGGCGGCGUGCCUAACACAUGCAAGUCGGAUGUGCCGCAAGGUGCAUGGCAGACGGGUGAGUAACGCGUGGGAAACCUACCUCUUUGUGGGGAAUAACGCUCCGAAAGGAGUGGUAAUACCGCAUGAGACCGUUGGCUGGGAUGCCGACGGUGAAACCUGGGGGACCGCAAGGCCUGGGGCAAGGGAGAGGGUCCUGCGUCUGAUUAGCUAGUUGGUGGGUAACGCCUACCAAGGCUUCGAUCAGUAGCCGGCCUGAGAGGGUGAUCGGCCACACUGGAACUGAGACACGGUCCAGACUCCUACGGGAGGCAGCAGUGGGGAAUUUUGCGCAAUGGGCGAAAGCCUGACGCAGCAACGCCGCGUGGGUGAUGAAGG
rnacentral:rRNA from 1 species